rfam:Podiceps cristatus contig127015, whole genome shotgun sequence.
AAUUAAAUUACUAAGGGCUAAUAACGGAUUUCUUGGAAAUGAUAGGCGAUGAAGGACGUGCUAAUCUGCGAAAAGUAUCGGGUAGCUGAUAAGAAGCCAUAAUCCGGUAAUCUCCGAAUGUAGAAAUACAGUAGAAACUAAUCUUUCUGCUAUUACUAUAUGAAAUUAAAUAGUAUAGUAAGGUGAACUUGGUGAAGUGAAACAUCUCAGUAGCCAAAGGAAAAGAAAACGAAGUGAUUCCCUCAGUAGUGGUGAGCGAAAAGGGAAAAGGCCAAACUAGCAAAUCUUAAACAUUUACUAGGGUUAUAGGACCCUACACAAUGGGAAUUUAUGUAUAGCAGAAAUUUUAUUGGAAUAUAGUAUCAUAGAAGGUGAAAAUCCUGUAUGCGAAAUAUAUGAAUUCUCUAAAGGGUAUCCUGAGUAGGGCGGGACAUGUGAAUCCUGUCUGAAUUUGCCCGGACCAUCGGGUAAGCCUAAAUACUAAUCAUUUACCGAUAGUGAACAAGUACUGUGAAGGAAAGAUGAAAAGAACCCAGGUAUGGGAGUGAAAUAGAUCAUGAAAUUAUUAGCCUACAAAGUGUCAAAGCACAUUAAUGUGUAAUGGCGUGCGUUUUGAAGUAUGAGCCGGAGAGUUAUUGUAAGUUGCGAAGUUAAACUGAAAGUGGAGCUGUAGCGAAAGCGAGUCUUAAUAGGGCGUUAAGUAAGUUACAAUAGACCCGAAAGGGGAUGAGCUAACCAUGGGCAGGUUGAAGUUUAGGUAAGACUAAAUGAAGGACUGAACCGACUGUCGUUGAAAUGAUAGCGGAUGACCUGUGGUUAGAGGUGAAAUUCCAAUCGAAUUCCCUGAUAGCUGGUUUUUGUCGAUAUAGUUUUAGGACUAGCGUCAAAUAAAUUUAUGUACGGAGGUAAAGCACUGAAUCUAUAAGGGCAUUUCGCGAUGUACCAAAUGGAAUUAAACUCUGAAUGCCGUACAUACUACUUUGGCAGUGAGACUAUUUGGGAUAAGCUUUAUAGUCGUGAGGGAGAGAGCCCAGACCAACAAAUAAGGUCCCUAAAUUAAACUAAGUGGAAAAGGAGGUCAAAAUUCAUAAACAACUAGGAUGUUGGCUUAGAAGCAGCCAUCAUAUAAUGAGUGCGUAAUAGCUCACUAGUCUAGUUUUUUGGCGCCGCAAGUAUAACGGGGCUAAGUUUAAUACCGAAUUUUUGGACUAUAAUAAUCAAAUAUCUAGAUUAUCAUAGUGGUAGACAAAUGUUGUUUAAGGAUUGAAGAUUGAAUGAGAAUACAAUUGGACUUUAAACAAGUAAGAAUUCCGGCGUGAGUAACGAAUGAAAGUGAGAAUCUUUCUAGCCUUUUGAUUAAGGUUUCCAGGGCAAGGUUCGUCCUCCUUGGGUUAGUCGAUCCUAAGAUGAGGUCGAAAGACGUAAUUAAUGGAUAACGGGUUAAUAUUCCCGUACUACCUUAAAUAUUUGAUGGGCGGACAAAGAAGGUUAAUGGUAAGAGGAUUAUUGGAUUUUCUUUUAAAAUUUCAAGCAAGUUAAGGAUGAAAAUCACCUUAACAAUAUUGCAAGAAUUGAAUACAAUUUGAACUAGAAGUAGGGCAAAAAGUUACCAAGAUCUACUUUCGAGAAAAGGCUCUAAAUUAUAUAUUUAAGGUAUUCGUACCGAAAACGAACACACGUGAUCAAGGAGAAUAUCCUAAGGCUAACGAGAUAACUACAGUUAAGGAACUCUGCAAAAUAGCUCUGUAACUUCGGGAGAAAGAGUACCUAUUUAAAUAAAAUAGGUCACAGUAAAGAAUGAGGGCGGACUGUUUAACAAAAACACAGCUAUAUGCAAAAUGUAAAUAUGAAGUAUAUGUGGCGACACCUGCCCGGUGCCAGAAGGUCAAAAAAGAAAGUCAAAUUAAUUUAUUAGUGGAAGCUUUUAAUUUAAGCCCUGGUGAACGGCGGCCGUAACUAUAACGGUCCUAAGGUAGCGAAAUUCCUUGUCAGGUAAAUUCUGUCCCGCUUGAAUGGUGUAACCAGCUCUUGACUGUCUCGACUGUAGACUCGGUGAAAUCCUGGUGAGAGUGAAGACACUCUCUUGCCGCUAUGGGACGGAAAGACCCUAUGAAGCUUUACUGUAACUUGAUAUUGUAAAAAUGAAUUGUUUUUAGAGCAUAUGUGGGAGACUAAGAAGAUGAUGCGCUAGUGUUGUUGGAGUCAACAAUGGAAUACCACAAUUUCAAUUAAUUUUUACUCACAUAUUACCACAUAUAUCUGGUAUAUGAACAGUGUUAGGUGGGCAGUUUGACUGGGGCGGUUGCCUCCUAAAAAGUAACGGAGGCGCGCAAUGGUACACUUGACGCGAAUGGAAAUCGCGUUAUAAGGGUAAUACUAUAAGUGUGCUUGACUGUGAGACAAACAAGUCGAACAGGUAAGAAAUUAGGCUAUAGUGAUCCGGUGGUUCCGGAUGGAAGGGCCAUCGCUCAACGGAUAAAAGCUACUCUAGGGAUAACAGGGUAAUAAUCUCCAAGAGUUCAUAUCGACGAGAUUGUUUGCUACCUCGAUGUCGACUCAUCUUAUCCUGGGGGUGAAGCAGCUCCCAAGGGUUCGGCUGUUCGCCGAUUAAAAAGAUACGUGAGUUGGGUUCAAACCGUCGUGAGACAGGUUGGUCCCUAUCUGUAGUGGCUGAAGGAAAUUUGAGAGGAUUUGUUCUUAGUACGAGAGGAUCAGAAUGAACACACCCCUGUUGCACCAGUUGUUUCGCCAGAAGCAUAGCUGGGUAGAUAAGUGUGGAUUAGAUAAACGCUGAAAGCAUCUAAGUGUGAAACUAACCUCAAAAAAAUUUCCCUUUCAAAGUGUCACUUUGAAAAUAAAUAUGGUGGAAGACUACCACCUUGAUAGGCUACAUGUGUAAGUACAGUAAUGUAUUGAGCUGAGUAGUACUAAUUAUAUGAAAGAUUUAAUAAU